GCACUGCUGAGUAGUCCUAUAAUAGGACGAAACGGUCGUCCAGUGC
rnacentral:hammerhead_ribozyme from 1 species